AAAGGUUUUUCGGCUCAGAACGGUGUGACAGAUUUAUCCAAAGAAUAAAAUAAUAGCUAAUAUGAUCUUACCUCUGAAUACAAAAAUAACAACAUUGUAUAAUACAUAUUAUGUAAUAAAAUAAUUCAAUAAAUUACUUUCUCUAUAUCUUCUUGGAAAUUUUCAAUAAACAUUAUUGUACAAAGUUGCUGAUCUGUACAUUGAAACUUCUAUUAAAUAGUUAAUAAAUAUAUAUGUAUGUAUAAAAAUAUGUAAUAUAAAAUAUAACCUAAAAGAUCGAAGAAUUACCAUCGUUCAGCUAUCGUUGAUCACAGGAAAAUUCGUGGUAGAAGAAACAAUGGAAGACAUCGACAUGGCGAUUGAGCUAAUAGAACAUCGCAGUUUGAUCUUCGUUAACGAUGUUUUAGUCUGAAACAACAUAACCGUAGAAGCAACGAUAUAAAGACCGGAAAUUAGAAACCGGACGAGGAGAAAAUAUGAAAUGUGAAAAGAGAGAAGGGGAAAUGAAAGGAAGCGGGAAAAGGUUUACGCAUAAAUUAGUCAGCCAUUGCCAUUACUUAUAAUAAAUUAAGUAUACCGGAAUGUAAUAAGUAAUGAUUAAUAAUGGCAGAUUUAUCAGUACAUCCGAUAUACAAAGUGUUCCGUUUUAAUAUCUCACAAUUUUUCACUCGUUCAUGGCGGUUUAAUAAGAGAAAUUAUUUGUUCAUCAAAAUUUAUUUAUGUAAAUUAAGCUAUGUCUGUUUAAUAAAGGUUGGUUAUUUGAUA